GCCAGACUCCUACGGGAGGCAGCAGUGGGGGAUAUUGCACAAUGGGGGAAACCCUGAUGCAGCGACGCCGCGUGAGUGAAGAAGUAUUUCGGUAUGUAAAGCUCUAUCAGCAGGGAAGAAAAAAGACGGUACCUGACUAAGAAGCCCCGGCUAACUACGUGCCAGCAGCCGCGGUAAUACGUAGGGGGCAAGCGUUAUCCGGAUUUACUGGGUGUAAAGGGAGCGUAGACGGCAAUACAAGUCGGAAGUGAAAUACCCGGGCUCAACCUGGGAACUGCUUUGGAAACUGUAUGGCUAGAGUGCUGGAGAGGUAAGCGGAAUUCCUAGUGUAGCGGUGAAAUGCGUAGAUAUUAGGAGGAACACCAGUGGCGAAGGCGGCUCACUGGACAGUAACUGACGUUGAGGCUCGAAAGCGUGGGGAGCAAACAGGAUUAGAUACCCCUGUAAC
rnacentral:rRNA from 1 species